rnacentral:rRNA from 1 species
UACGUAGGUGGCAAGCGUUGUCCGGAAUUAUUGGGCGUAAAGAGCUCGUAGGUGGUUUGUCGCGUUGUCCGUGAAAUUCCCUGGCUUAACUGGGGGCGUGCGGGCGAUACGGGCAGACUGGAGUACUGCAGGGGAGACUGGAAUUCCUGGUGUAGCGGUGAAAUGCGCAGAUAUCAGGAGGAACACCGGUGGCGAAGGCGGGUCUCUGG